rnacentral:lncRNA from 1 species
CAAAGACUCUCUUCUCUAUGGAAGUAGCAUUUAUAUUCAAGUAAAAGUAUUCCAUCUGGCGUCACUUGAAAGCAUACUGCGAUGUAAAUUACAAGUAGAGGCCUAAAAAUGGAACACGUUCUUAAGGAAAUGGUGUUUUCCAUUGGAAAUUUUAAGGUGAAGAAGACCUUCGUCAGAUCUUCAUGUUAACUGUUGAAGUUCUGCAGGAGUUCAGCAGGCGGGAAAACCUCAAUGCUCAGAUGUCUUCAGUAUUUCAGCGUUACCUUGCACUCGCCAAUCAAGUCUUGAGCUGGAACUUUCUUCCUCCAAAUU